AGCAGCCGCGGUAAUUCCAGCUCCAAUAGCGUAUAUUAAAGUUGUUGCAGUUAAAAAGCUCGUAGUUGAAUUUUGGGUUUGGCCAAUUGGUCCGUUCUUGUAACGAGUACUGGUUGGUUGGGCCUCACCGCCUGGUGAUACGUAAUGUCCUUUAUUGGGUGUUGCGAGUAGCCAGGACCUUUACCUUGAAAAAAUUAGAGUGUUUAAAGCAGGCUUAUGCCGGAAUACAUUAGCAUGGAAUAAUAGAAUAGGACGAUGAUUCUAUUUUGUUGGUUUCUAGGAGCAUCGUAAUGAUUAAUAGGGAUAGUUGGGGGCAUUAGUAUUCAAUUGUCAGAGGUGAAAUUCUUGGAUUUAUUGAAGACUAACUACUGCGAAAGCAUUUGCCAAGGAUGUUUUCAUUAAUCAAGAACGAAAGUUAGGGGAUCGAAGACGAUCAGAUACCGUCGUAGU
rnacentral:rRNA from 1 species